GCAUAUCAAUAAGCGGAGGAAAAGAAACCAACAGGGGAUUGCCCUAGUAACGGCGAGUGAAGCGGCAACAGCUCAAAUUUGAAAUCUGGCCCCCGGGUCCGAGUUGUAAUUUGUAGAGGAUGCUUUUGGUGCGGUACCUUCCGAGUUCCCUGGAACGGGACGCCAUAGAGGGUGAGAGCCCCGUCUGGUUGGACGCCAAUCCUCUGUAAAGCUCCUUCGACGAGUCGAGUAGUUUGGGAAUGCUGCUCUAAAUGGGAGGUAUAUGUCUUCUAAAGCUAAAUAUUGGCCAGAGACCGAUAGCGCACAAGUAGAGUGAUCGAAAGAUGAAAAGCACUUUGAAAAGAGAGUUAAAAAGUACGUGAAAUUGUUGAAAGGGAAGCGCUCAUGACCAGACCUGGGCCCGGUUGAUCAUCCAGGGUUCUCCCUGGUGCACUCUUCCGGCCCAGGCCAGCAUCAGUUCGCUGUGGGGGACAAAGGCUUCGGGAAUGUGGCUCCUCCGGGAGUGUUAUAGCCCGCUGCGUAAUGCCCUGUGGCGGACUGAGGUUCGCGCAUCUGCAAGGAUGCUGGCGUAAUGGUCACCAGCGACCCGUCUUGAAACACGGACCAAGGAGUCGUCUUCGUAUGCGAGUGUUCGGGUGUUAAACCCCUACGCGGAAUGAAAGUGAACGCAGGUGAGAGCUUCGGCGCAUCAUCGACCGAUCCUGAUGUUCUCGGAUGGAUUUGAGUAAGAGCAUACGGGGCCGGACCCGAAAGAAGGUGAACUAUGCCUGUAUAGGGUGAAGCCAGAGGAAACUCUGGUGGAGGCUCGCAGCGGUUCUGACGUGCAAAUCGAUCGUCAAAUAUGGGCAUGGGGGCGAAAGACUAAUCGAACCUUCUAGUAGCUGGUUUCCGCCGAAG
rnacentral:rRNA from 1 species